GUCUCCCUCUGCCCACCCACCUGCACCUGACAGCUGUGGGCUGUGCUCUCAGGGAGGCACCGUCAGAUGCUACCAGACUACAGAGGAGAGCACCCUCAAUCCUGACUGAAGGUUUGGGAAAAGGCUGCUCAGAAGAGGUGAUACUUGAUAUGGGCCCUGGAGGAGGAGAAGCAGUUUGAGAAGACAGCAGUGAGAGAUGGCAUCCGGGCAGGCGAGAAAUGCAAAGGGAAGAGAGGUCAUCCAGGACAAAAGUACAGAAUGAAAAGAAAAAGCAACUAAGCACGAAAUCUUGGAGAAUGUCCUCAUUGAAGGGUCCUGAGCACCAAGGGUACAGUCAGAAAUGAUGAAUCCAGAAAUGAUGCCCUCCAGAACUUCUGGUGAGGAAGGCACUCAGGAAAAUGCAGCACCCUAUGGAGGCCCAGAAAGGAGGGCAUUCAGGAAGAACACAGUCUGAUGGUGUCAAGUGCAGCGGAGGCUAAGAGCCUCAGUGCCUCCUUCAGAGAUGCGGUGGAUAUUAGCUUCUGUUGUAUCCUUCAUACAGAACCUGGUGCUGAGAGACAGCUUCUUCUUUUUUUUUUUUUCUUUAAACUUUUCUUAAGACUAGUCAAGUACAGUAUCAAGAAGACGGGAAAGAGUAGAACAAGGAAUUGGAUCCGUAACUGACUGUGAACAAUCAAUUGAGGUAACUCAUUACCUUUGAACCAACCUGGGAGGCAGCCUUGUGACUCACCUCAAUCCUCAAUCUUCUCAGCUAGUUCACUUUGGCCUGGCUCAGGGGCUGACCUAGAAUGAUCCUGUCCAGAAGGACCCUGGAUGUUCUUAGAGACACAGACUGCUAGGGCUGGCAGGGACUUUUCAUCCAAUUCCUCUGUGACAGAGGAGGAAGUGGAGGUGCAGAAGGAGAGGUGAGCUGCCUGUGGUCCUUCAGCUUACUAAUGGCAGUGUUAGGACUGGACCUGAGGGCUCUUCCCUCCAGUCCGGCGCUAUUUAUUCCAUGACAGUGCCUCUCAAACUGUGUUCUCACAAGCAGCUAGUGCUCAGGCAGCUGGACUGAGGCCCUGCCUGCCAAAUCAAAUAUUGGAGGUCUUUCUCCAAUGUGCAGAAAAAAAAAGUAAUUAAUGGGUUAAGUUUCCUUAGGGUUAAAUUAUUUUUCCAUUAAUGCUUCUUAAACCAUUGUCACCUGCUACCAAUUGUCUACUAGCCAAUGCAUGCAGGCAACAAAACAAAAGGAUAAGCCACAAGUAAAUAAGAACAAGAACAACCAAAGCCUUGGAAACACACCAUCAUUCUUAAGUUAAAGGCUUAAAAAAAAAAUAGAGGAAGACUGCUAUGACUGUGGACUUUCUAUUGCAUUCACAUAAUAAAAUCAUGCGACAUUGUUUUGAAUUCAA
rnacentral:lncRNA from 10 species